rnacentral:rRNA from 1 species
AGCUCCAAUAGCGUAUAUUAAAGUUGUUGCAGUUAAAAAGCUCGUAGUUGGAUUUCUGGGAGGGUGCUAAUGUCCGCCGUAGCGCGUGUGCAGCCGCGCCCUUCCAUCCUUCUGUUAACGCCUCUUGGCAUUUGUUUGCUGGUGGCGGGCUCAGAUAUUUUACCUUGAGAAAAUUAGAGUGUUUCAGGCAGGCUAGGCCGGAAUAUAUUAGCAUGGAAUAAUGGAAUAGGACUAUGGUCUCUUUGUUGGUUUGAGGGACUGCAGUAAUGAUUAAUAGGGAUAGUUGGGGGCAUUAGUAUUUAAUUGUCAGAGGUGGAAUUCUCAGAUUUGUUAAAGACUAACUUAUGCGAAAGCAUUUGCCAAGGAUGUUU